GAAUUACCCCAAACUGAGCACUCUCUUCCCACUAAAGAAAGAUAAGCGGUAAAUAUGAGUCACCUUUGUAAAGAGCGAGCCGAGGUAGUACUGCCUCUCAAGCUGUCUAGCGGCUUUCAGCACCAAAGCAGCCGCCGCCACAACCCCCACACCGCCUGGCCACGGUACAGCAGGCAAGUAGUUUCCCUGCCGGCUUCUAAACUCUUUUGAAUAGCUUACUAUAAGCGGUAGUUUUAAGAUAAACAGUGACAAAGCAAGUAAGGAGUUUUGCCACACAUCUUCACACAGGUAUUUCAAAUUGGAGGAGUGAUCUUAAAUCACGUCCGUGCUGCGUAUGAGCACAGAGCUGCGGAUGUCAUGUAUAGGAUUGCAUCAGCUACAUGGCAUGCCAACCACUUCCGAGUGGCCAACAAAAGUCAAGCGAAGCCUUACUGGAGCAGUGAAUUCUCUAGGCCAUAUUGCAGGAAAACUGAUCACAUCUGGGCAGAUGACUAUUCAUCUUUCGAAAAGUCAGCAGCAAUUUCAAGCUAAGAAGAAAAACUACCAAGCAGAAAUUCCUCUAAAGUGCGACAGAUAAUAUCACAGCCUGCCGUGAAGACAAGGGAUUGAGGGGGCAACAAAGGACAAAAAAUGGGAUUUAGGUUAUGGAUGCCUUUAGAAAUCUUUUUUUUCCCCCCCCUGUAAUUGUGAAGGUGAAACAGGUAAGUUUCACAGGAAAGGGGCCUUCUAGAUUUACUCUCUUCCUU
rnacentral:lncRNA from 1 species